UUAAACAUUUUAAACUACUUUUACGAGUUUCAUACUAUAGCAUCAAAUCUAAACUGCCAUUAGUUGUAAGACGCACCAUUAUUUUAUGUACUACCAGAAAGGGAAAAUGCCACCAAUGCAAUCUUAUAUUGAUCGUAAGACAUAUCCAGAUCCAUUUUGCACAUUUGCUAAAAUGAGGAAGAAAUGUGCAUCUAGAAUUGAUAAAAUACUAUAUAUCUGGUAUCUCAAAUAGUGCAAAUGUUAGGUUUGAAGCAAGCAAAAUCUUUGUAAGCAUUUAAACAGCUCUUGUGAAUCUAAACGCAUUUAAAUUAAUAUAUAGAUUUCUAAAUGUAGUAUAUAUUAAAUAUUUAAGUACUGUCUAUAAAUGUAACCAAAUUCUGUUACACAUUCUGCAAUAAGUUAAAAAAGGGAAAAUUUCAGUAAUCAUAGGAUGAUGUUAGUUUCUAUAAUGUGUCAGUUUCUCUUGAGCAAUUCCAAACACCUUCAAUUGCAAACUCAUGAGGAUAUUCUUGAUGUUUAUAAAACUUAUUACUAAGCACAAAAUUAAUGCAUGGGUUUGGUUACUUCACCAUCCUUUCACCAUUCUUAUUCUUUUUUUUCCUUUUUUUUUAGAUGGAGUCUCGUGCUGUCGCCCAGGCUUGCAGUGGCGCGACUGCAGCCUCGGCUCACUAUAGCCUCUGCCUCCCGGUUCAAAUGAUUCUCCCACCUCAGCCUCCCAAGUAGCUGGGAUUACAGGUGGCUGUCACCAAUCCUAGCUAAUUCUUGUAUUUUUAUAUAGUAGAGAUGGGGUUUCACCAUGUUGGCCAGGCUGGUCUCGAACUCCUGACCUCAAGUGAUCCACUGCCUCAGCCUCCCAAAGUGCUGAGAUUAGAGGUGUGAGCCACCGCUCCUGGCCUUCACCAUCCUUAUUAUUAUUUUAAUGUUAUAGAGUCACUUAUCCAAUGAGCAGAUUUACUGUCUUAAGCCAGCAUUACUAGUUCUCAAAAUCCCCCUUUGGAUUCUGAAUUAGAUUAGCGGUUCUCAAAAUUUUAGGCAUCAGGACCCCAUUACCCUAAAAAAUUGUUGAGAAUCCUAAAGAGCUUUUAUUUACAUGGGUUAUAACUAUUGAUAUUUACUACAAUAGAAAUUAAAUCUGAGAAAUUUUAAAAAAUAUUUUUAUUGAUUCAUUUAAAAAUAACAAUAAUAAGCCUGGUGCAGUGGCUCACACCUAUAAUCCCAGCACUUUGAGAGGCCGAGGUGAGAGGAUUGCUUGAGCCCAGGAGUUUGAGAGUAGCCUGGGCAACACAGUGAGACCCCAUCUCCAAAAAAUUAAGAAAAUUAGUUGGGUGUGGUGGCACAUGCCUGUAGUCCCAGUUACAGGGGAGGCUGAUGUGGGAGGACUGCUUGAGCCUGGGAGGUGAAGGCUGCAGUGAGCUGUGAUUGCACCACUGCACUUCAGCCUGAGUGACAGAGCAAGGCCCUGUCUCAGAAAAAAAAACCAAAAACACAUCAAUGUUAGUAUUAAUAAUGUAGUUUUAUGGAACAAACAAUUAAAAAAAUUUUUUGGAAUUUUUUUUUUAGCAAUGAAUUGAGUAAGGAUAAAAAUCUGAAAGAUGCAUAGGAGACACAUGACAAAAUGUAUGGACUUGCCUCCACUGACACAACAGAAAAAUGUGACCCUAACACUUUGUCCCUAAAUCCUAUUCUCCUGCAUAUAAUAGUCAAGCAUCCAGACAUUGCUACUUUAUCUGUAUUCAGCAGAAGCUGGGUGAUCAUUGUUAGAGAAGUUGAAGAAGUAAUUCCUUCAUUAGGCAAGAAAUUGGACUAGACCAAUAAUCACAAAGUUCCAUUUUCAUCCUACGAUUCUAUGCUCCUUUGAACCCUGAAAAACUCCAGGCUUUUCUGAGUAUCUAUGCAAGGGUAGGCCCUGUUGCUUGCUUUUCCUGUAUGUGGUCUCCAUUUCCCUUUGUGACAGAGUUCCAAUUGUGCUUAGAGAAUUAGAAUGUCCAGUUAAGGAGACAUAAUUCCCUGGGUCCCCUGCAACUAGGAGCAGCUUUGUGACCUAGUUCCAGCCCAUGAGAUAUAAGCAAAAUCCACAAGAUGAGAAUUCUGGGAGAUUGAUGAUUUCCCUUAUGAAAAAAAAGCAUAUUUAGAAAUAGGUGUCUUUUUCCUUCUUUCUGCCAGGAACAUCGAUGUAAUACCUGGAGAUGGGGUAGCUCUCUAUGACCAUGAAGAAGAAAGCCACACACAAAAAAUGGAUGAUCAGAAAGUGAAAGGAGCCUCCUUCUGGACUUCUUGUUACAUAGGAAAAAUCUUUCCUUAAGACACUGUAAUUGAAUUUCUGUUACAUGCAGGCUAACUCAAACCUAACCAGAAUAAUGGUCAAAAAUGCUUCAAUUUAAUCUGAACUUAAUUGUCCAAGACCUUCUCUACAGGCCAGUGUGGCAGGCAGCCAGCGCAUUCUUAAAUUGCUUUAGCCUGUCAUCUCACCACUUGGGCAUUCUUGAUGAGAUGAAGUAUGGAUGCCUGUGACCCCUACCAAGCCAUGCAGAUGAGCAGCUGAUAUCUAUGGAUCUGAGUAAGCGCUGAAUGGUGACCUCAGAGGGUAGGGGUUAAUAAAGAUGAUGAUGAUGAUGAUGAUAA